UGGGGAAUAUUGGACAAUGGGCGCAAGCCUGAUCCAGCCAUGCCGCGUGAGUGAUGAAGGCCCUAGGGUUGUAAAGCUCUUUCACCGGUGAAGAUAAUGACGGUAACCGGAGAAGAAGCCCCGGCUAACUUCGUGCCAGCAGCCGCGGUAAUACGAAGGGGGCUAGCGUUGUUCGGAUUUACUGGGCGUAAAGCGCACGUAGGCGGACUUUUAAGUCAGGGGUGAAAUCCCGGGGCUCAACCCCGGAACUGCCUUUGAUACUGGAAGUCUUGAGUAUGGUAGAGGUGAGUGGAAUUCCGAGUGUAGAGGUGAAAUUCGUAGAUAUUCGGAGGAACACCAGUGGCGAGGGCGGCUCACUGGACCAAUACUGACGCUGAGGUGCGAAAGCGUGGGGAGCAAACAGG
rnacentral:rRNA from 1 species